AAGUCGUAACAAGGUUUCCGUAGGUGAACCUGCGGAAGGAUCAUUACCAUAUCCAAAACUUUACCAACCCACCGUGUGAACUGUUGUGAAUGUUCUUCUUUUACUUGGGGGCGACGUUUGGGAGGCUAGUGAGCGUGUGAGAGAAGCUUAGGAUUCUGUUUUGUUCACAUCUAUUUUGAGUAGUGUGGUCUGGUCAAACAGGCUACGAACAAAACGGGUCUUUCUCUUGGUACGCUCGUCUGCUUCUGUUGCCCCAUGAGUAAAUUACAAGAGCCUUCUAUUUAAACUACUCAGAAACUUAACACCUUGUCAAACCAAAAACAUACAAACCUGAUUUUUGUGGCGAUGAAAACUCACUGGGUUACUCCGGUGGUUUUGAUCAACACUAAAAAACGAAAACCAAUAGACAACUUACAACGGUGGAUCUCUUGGCUCGU
rnacentral:misc_RNA from 1 species